GUUAAACGGCCGCGGUAUUUUGACCGUGCAAAGGUAGCGCAAUCACUUGUCUUUUAAAUGAAGACCUGUAUGAAUGGUGGAACGAGGGCUUAACUGUCUCCCCCUUCUAGUCAAUGAAAUUGAUCUACCCGUGCAGAAGCGGGUAUAAUAAUACAAGACGAGAAGACCCUUUGGAGCUUAAGACAAAAGACCAACUAUGUCAAAAGUCCUAAAAAAGACUAAACCAAAUAGCUCUGGUCCUAAUCUUCGGUUGGGGUGACCACGGGAGAAAACAAAGCUCCCAUGCGGACUGGGAUAUUUCCUAAAACUAAGAGAGACAUCUCUAAGACACAGAACAUCUGACCAUAAAGAUCCGGCUACAUGCCGACCAACGGACCAAGUUACCCUAGGGAUAACAGCGCAAUCCCCUUCCAGAGUCCAUAUCGACAAGGGGGUUUACGACCUCGAUGUUGGAUCAGGACAUCCUAAUGGUG
rnacentral:rRNA from 1 species